UACAGGGGGGUGCAAACGUUGCUCGGAAUCAUUGGGCGUAAAGCGCACGUAGGCGGUUCGUUAUGUCGGAUGUGAAAGCCCUUGGCUUAACCGAGGAAGUGCAUCCGAAAACUGGCGAGCUAGAGUACGAAAAGAGGAUCGCGGAAUUCCCGGUGUAGAGGUGAAAUUCGUAGAUAUCGGGAGGAACACCGGUGGCGAAGGCGGCGAUCUGGGUCGAUACUGACGCUGAGGUGCGAAAAGCGUGGGGGAGCAAACAGG
rnacentral:rRNA from 1 species